rnacentral:lncRNA from 1 species
GACGUGGCCCCUCCGACGGCGGUUGGUCCCAGACCUAGCAUCGCCCCCAUCGCCGCUCCAGCCAUGGCGCUGGCCUCUUGCCUCGUCUUGCGCUCCCAUCAGGUUCUUUUGCUCACCCCUUGGCUUCUCUCUACAUCGUGCUUUGAGGAACCCUAGUCUCUUGCUGAUCAGAUCCUGUGACGUCUGUGUUGAAAAUUUCAUGAUUAGAAAAUGAGAUUCCUUAGUUCGUUCGCUAGAUUGGGAAUUGGAGGGGCAGACAGUGGAGACGACACACUCUUUUCUUACAGAUUCUUUCAACCUGAAUGUGAAUCCCUGUUUAGAUAUUUUCUCAUAUGGAACGCCAUGGUGUCAAUGCAGGCCAUGUCUACAAGACGCGGGUGCUGAACUGCUAACUCACGGCUUCUACUUUCCUGUGCAUAGUAAGUUCUAUUAUGUGUGUUAACUGUAUAACUUAUUUUUUUAUAGAGAUGAUCAUGUGUCGACGAAAGCUAGUCGGCAGUCUACCUUGGGGUAUACCCACGGUAGUAGUUUAUCGGUAGACGGUGCGCAAACUACGAACUCGAUGGUGACGCAAGACACGGACAAGCUUUUUAUCCAGGUUCGGCCGCCGAGUUGGCGUAAUACCUACGUCCUGCGUCUGGUUGUAUUGAUUUGUGCUGAGAGAAUAUAUGAUGUCCUAGGGGGGUCCCUCGCCCCUCCUUAUAUAGUCUGGAGGGCGGGGUUACGGAUCUGGAAACUAAUCCUAGUCGGUUACAAUUGCCAUGGAUAAUUCGAUGUUAAUUCCUAUUCUAACCGACUAGAAUCCUGCUUGAUCUCCACAUCUUGUUUCCUUGCGCGAAACUCCAGGUUGUCGGAUCAAGCCUUGAACUCGUCUCGUAAUGGACCAAGCCUGCUGGCCGAAGUCUAGCCGUAAGGGUAUAGGGGUUUAUACCCCCACAGCUAGUCCCCGAGCACCAUGUAUUGUGAUGUAACACGCCGUCUUGAGCUUCUUCGAUCAGUGUGGCUCGACGUCUUCAAUAAGCAGGAAAGUCGCCCGAACAGUUGCAACGGUAUUUUGACCAACUCAAAAGACAGUUGAUCAAUCAUAGACAUCGAAGAAGCAGGUUGUUCGAAGAAUGCAUGGUGCUCUUAAAAAAUUUCUUUCCUGGUGAAGUGUGCCCACUUUACCUUUUUGAAAGGUAUAAACAUCAAAAAAGCAAGCAAAUUCACCGCUAGGUGAAGUGUGCCCACUUAGUCCCCGAGCCUGGUAGUAGGUGACGUAGGCACGUGGUGCCAGGGUCAAAAGAAAAUUCCCCAAAGUAGUUUUGAGACUGAGAUGCAUCGCUAGAUGCAUCGUACCGAUGUAGUCCCCGAGCUUGCUGGAAGGCGAAGUAUGAGCCUUGUAGCAAGGUCAAAAGUGAAUUUACCAGUCCCCGAGCAUGUCAUGCUCGUCUGCAAAUGAAAAGACCAAUCGACCAGUCCCCAAGCACUAAGUGUGCUCCUUGGAAUUAUAUGUUGCUAUACCGUACGACCAGUCCCCGAGCGUCGAGUGCUCGGUGGUCGGUGCAUGCUUUAAAGCUUUGAGCUGAUAGACUGGGCGACCGGUCCCCAAGCGUCGAGUGCUCGGUGGUCGGUGCAGUCCUUGAAGUUCCGAGCUGAUAGACUGGGCGACCAGUCCCCGAGCGUCGAGUGCUCGGUGGUCGGUGCAGUCCUUGAAGUUCCGAGCUGAUAGACUGGGCGACCAGUCCCCGAGCGUCGAGUGCUCGGUGGUCGGUGCAGUCCCCGGAUUGUUGACUCACUGGCGUAUGUGUCUUCUUAUUUUUGAAAAGAUCUGUCUAGUUAAAGUUGACGUGAUGAGGCCUCCUGACGGGGUGUCAGACGGAUGCAUGAAAAGUUGCACCUGACAACUGUACAGCCGCCCUUUGCAUGGUUUGAGAAAAGGAAACCAUCAAUUGGUACGAAAACUCCGCCGCAUUAAUUGUCUAUAAUCAUUGUAAACCGAAACGCCGCGUCCGCCGCAUGGCCUGCCCACUUCCCGAGAAUACAGGAAGUGGGAGAGGUGGAGUUGCGGGCUUAUAAGAGCCUAAUAGGUCCGCCUGUACCGCUUUCGCUGCCAUUGCCUUCAAACCUUCCGCUCUCAUCUUCUCCAAUCUCCUGCAUCUUCCUAACUCAAGCCCACAUUCGCACCUCUAAUGGCGAAGAGCGACUCCAGGAAGAGGGCCGAACUGAUGGCCAAGGAGUGGAAGAAGUCUCGCAGCACCACAAAAUCUCUUGGUGACCUCGUCGAUAUGGGGCUUCUGCACGGCCCGGAGCUCGGCGGCUGGAGGGCACCGGAGGGGGAGAGCUACCCCGACCCUCGCGCCGGUGAGAUCGUCGUAUUUGAAGAUUUCAUUAAGAGGGGUUUUGGUGUUCCUGUUCAUCCUUUUCUUCAAGGUCUUCUUUUGUAUUAUGAGAUCGGGAUUUGCAAUCUGCACCCGAACUCAAUUCUCCUCAUUUCCACCUUUAUCCACCUGUGCGAGGCCUAUGUUGGCAUAGAGCCGCACUUCGAUCUUUUUCGGUAUCUUUUCUGCUUGAGGAAAAAGGGAGCAGUUGGAGGCUCCAAGGUUGCAGGUGGAGUAUACCUCAACCUUCGUGAUGGAAUGAAGAAUCGCUACCUGCACUGCCCAUGGAACACUUCCUUGACCGAAUGGUACAGGAAGUGGUUCUACAUCAGGGAGGAACCGGGCAGCUCCACGUUCUGCGACGUGGGAUACAUUCCUGAGAAGAGGACGAGCUGGACUGACCGCCCGGAGUUCGACGGUCCAGUGGCGGAUCUCAUGAAGCUGAUCGACUGGUCGCGCCUGGACGGGCUUGGCGUGGUCGGCAACUUCAUUUGCCGCCGGGUGAUGCCCUGCCAGAAGAGGGUGCACUCGGCGUACGAGUAUGCCGGAAGCGCGGACCCGACCAGGAUGCGGUCGGAGAUCUUGGAGAAAGCGGAGGUACAACAGCUGUUGAACGAGCUAUUUAACUUCGCGGAUGGGGGCUUCAUCCGUGGCAGUGAUCGGGUGCAAGCCUUCAAGUUAGGACGACCAGCACCAAAGGUAUGUAGCAUAUUCUGUUUUAGCAUUCGUAUAUCGCCUGCAGUUGACUCAUCUCUGUUGCUUUUGCAGAUCGGCAAUGUCGACCGGUGCACAGUGUAUGUAUCACUGGCACCGGGGAUGGAAAAUCCUGCGGGAGAGGUCCCGCCAGAGGAGGACGCUGCUCGGUGUACUCAUUACACCAGCAGUGAGGAAGACCAAGCCCGCCCCGUCCCGACCUCCGAGGAGAGGGUAGCGGGGAAAAGGCCAUUGCCGGCAGAUCCCUUGCCGACACCGGAGCUGCCGGCAGAUCUACCGGCGGAGAGCAGCCAAGCACCGAAGCGUCGUCGGCUCGUGCGGAUCGUCGACGAUGACGACGACGAGGAGGCUGCGCCGUCGUUGGUCCGACGGCCUCGGAGCCGCCCAGAAAAUGCGCCGGUCGCCACUGAUCGAGUGGCCAGCGGCGCCGCAAGCUGUCGAGAUGGGGGCACAGGUGCCGACCGGCCGGGCGAGGAGGAGGUUCACCGCGACCCACCGUCGGUCAGACCUGUAAGUGUUCGACUUACGUAUUUUGGACUCCUCUUUUUUUUUUGAAAUUUGACUUUUGUUCCUGUAGUGCGGCAUCGGAUGUCGACCCCGGCCAAACCGCCAGCCAGGGAACGGGCGAGCCUGCCCGCGGUUCUGGGGAUGCGGCCCCCCAGACCACAGAGCAGCCAACAGCUGCGGUCGCGCCUGGGAGCACCGAGGGGCUCCCGAGCGCGGCACCGACUACGACAAGCAGCCCGACCAGGGCUGGAGAGGCUCCCCCAACUGACUCCUCAGAGAAGGGAAGAUCUCCGACCGCUCCUCCUGCCGGGGGGAGUGAAGUCCCCACGCCGCCCCGAGCAGGAGCCUCUUCGGCUGCGGGCUCCCCAGGUCUGGUCCAAGGGCCAGUAAUACCUGGGACCACCACCGGGGGUGACGCAGCACAGGAGGAGGAAACCCGGGUGGCCUCCGAUGAUGAGGUGGAAGAGAUCGAGGGUCGUCCCCGUGAUGGCCGCCAACACGUGUAUGUGUGGCGCCAACGCGGGGAUCACUUUAUCGGGCAUGAGGAGCUCGCCGAGACCGAAGAGGCCGCCAGGGUGGAGCGCGCGGCCAAGCGCCUCGUCGACGAAGUCAAGGUAAGCGGCUUUUUGUACUGCUGCACAUUCUUUUGCCUUGUCUUGCAUGGUCGUUAUAUGCUUGCUUUGUAGGACACAAUGAAAACGGCGAAGUACCGGAAACGGUGCUUUGACCAGAUAGAAGGCGUCAUGGCCGAGAACAAGGCCCUUGCCGCAGAGGUAGACUGGUUGCGGGCGGAGGUCGGGGAGAAGGUGGUCGAGAUGAGUGCCGAAAAGGAGCGUCGUCUCGACCUCGCUCGUCGUUUGGCCGACCAGUACCGGCUGCAAGAAGGUUAGUCACACGCUCCGAGCAGCUUCGCGUACUUGUAUAGUUUGCUUUGCUGACCAGUUUAGGAUUAACGCAGACUUGGAGGAGGAGGUGGAGAGCCUCCGACAAGAGAAGGAGCAGCUCAGCCAACAGCUCGCCGGUGCGCUGGAGUCCGGGCGGCGAGCAGGAGAGGAAUUGGGUCGAAAAGACCGGGAGCUAUCUGGUAAUGGGUGCCGCCUUGUUGGUUGCUGCCUGCCCCUUUUUUAUGCCUAAAAUAACGCUUUGUUUCGUUUGCAGUGCUCAAGGUGAACGCCAAGAAGCACCUGGAUGAUCUGACCAAGGACCGGGACUCCUGGAAGGUCAACUGUUGCAGGAUCUGGAAAGGAGUGUCCCCGGUCCUAGACCUGAUCAGUCCCGAGCUCCCGGAGAGCCAGCCCCGCGCGCCGCAGUUGACCCCGGUCGAGAAGGCGCAACGGGCGUGGGACUGGCUCCAGCAGUUUGUGAAGGACGCCGGGGAGUUUGCCGGCGCGCACGUCCUCAGCAUGGUGCGCGCCCACUACCCCCUGGUCGACUUGAGCAGGCUGGAGAAGGGGUACCCGAAGGAAGUCGGCCCGCAGGACGCGGACGAGCUUCGGGGUAGUCUGCUGGACUUGUCGUCGACAGUGAUCGGCGACAUCAAUCUGUGCGGAACGGCCACUCCUCCAGACCAGCCGAGUUCAGAUAAGUCGGCCAGGGAGUUGUCGGGCGCGUCCGUUGCGGGAGAUGGGCGGUCGACGCCUGCGGUCUCAACCAGCCAGGCGCCGGUGGCCCCGACCCCUUCGUCCGGGCAGCAGGGCCAGGCGGGUGAUCAGCCCGAGCAGCUAGGCCAAUAAAGUAGUCUGUAGGAAUAGACUAGUGUCUGCCCGUCAGGGGAUUUAUUGUAAACUUUGUAUGUAAAGUUUGUAAUAAAGUUUACUUUUUGUCAUGACUGUUGUUUUGAGCGCUGUAAGAAUAUCUGAGUGACGUGUCACCGUAUUUGUCUUGGUUGUCGCUAAGAGCAUCCAUUGCAGGAGUUUUGCCGAGUGCUGUGUGUGACAAGGUAUAGGCAAAAAAUAGAGAAUUCCAUUAUCAAAAAUUAUAAGAUACUUACAAAAGAAAGUCAUUAAAACUUUAUGGAUAGAAACGUCGCAGUUUGUCGAUGAGCCAAGAGUUAGGCACUCGUGUUCCGUCUGGGUAUGCCAAUCUGUAGGACGUAGGUCGUGUGACCUCGGUCACCACGAAGGGUCCUUCCCAGGGAGUGGAUAGCUUGUGCAUUCCCUCCUGGCUUGUUUUCCAUCGAAGCACCAGAUCGCCGACCACGAAGGAACGGUCCUUGACGUUCCUGUUGUAGUAUCGCCUGACUGCCGCGAGAUAUUUUGCUGUUCGGAGACAUGAAACUAAACGCUUUUCCUCCAUGCAAUUGAUUUCGAGUUCUCUGGCGUUGUCGGCGGUCGCCUGGUCGAAGUGCUCGAUUCUAGGAGAUCCGAAGUGUAUGUCAGACGGCAGGACCGCCUCUGCACCGUACACCAUGAAGUAGGGAGACACCCCUGUGUUUCGACUGGUCUGGGUUCGGAGGCCCCAGACCACUGCCGGCAAUUCUUUCAUCCAUCGACCGGGUGCUCUGUCGUUUUCGGUGUACAGCCUUUUCUUUAGGGCGUCAACGAUCAUUCCGUUAGCACGUUCGACUUGACCGUUGGCACGUGGAUGUGCCACUGACACAUAUUUUAUGACUAUGCCUCUGUCAUCGCAGAAAUCCCAAAAAGUGGUGCCAGUAAACUGAGUGCCCAGGUCGGUGAUUAUGCUGUUCGGGAUGCCGAAUCUGUGUAUGAUUUGAUUGAGGAACUCCACAACCUUCUCGGAGGUUGCCUUGACCAGGGGCAUGUAUUCAAUCCACUUGGAGAACUUGUCGAUUAACACGAAGACAAACUUGAAAUUGCCCGGGGCUGGUUUAAAUGGUCCGAUCAUGUCAAGCCCCCAGCAAGCAAAGGGCCAAGACGACGGGAUGGUUUGAAUUUCAUGGGCAGGUACGUGGGUCCUCUUAGCGAAAAACUGACAUCCUUCGCAAUGCCGAACCAGUUUUUCUGCGUCGCCGACCGCGGUUGGCCAAUAAAAACCUGCUCGGAAAGCCUUUCCGACCAGCGUUCUAGAUGCGGCGUGAUUGCCGCAGGAUCCAGCGUGUAUGUCCUCCAAAAGCUUGAUACCAUCAUCUUGGGGUAUGCACUUGAGCAGUACUUCGGAGCUUGCGUUUUUCCGCAUGAGUUUUCCGUCGACCAGGAUGUAGUUCUUUGAUCGUCGGAUGAGGCGCUCGUUCUCUGUUUUGUCCUGAAAGCCUGUCCCGUCUGAUAUGUAUUUGAUGAACGGGGUACGCCAGUCACGUCCACCGGUUGUCGGAGUGGCGUCAUCUAUGAGCAUUGCCUCGGUGGGUUGCUUGUCGACCAGGGGGGAGCUUACGCUCGGCUCAUGGAUGUCUUGGACGAGAAUACCCCGCGGGAUUUGGGCCCGAGAUGAGCAUAACUUUGACAACGCAUCUGCUGCUUGGUUCUUAUCCCGGACCACGUGGAUGUACUCUAUGCCAUAGAAGUUAGUUUCCCAUUUGCGAAUUUCUUUGCAGUAGAGAUCCAUCUUCUCGUGGGUUGCGUCCCACUCCUUGUUGAGCUGGUUGAUGACCAAAGCGGAGUCGCCGUAGACAUAGAGGCGCUUGACCCCCAGUUCAACGGCUAGUCGUAUGCCAUGCAAGCAUGCUUCGUACUCGGCGACGUUGUUUGACGCCGGAAAAAGGAUCCGAAGGACGUAACGGAGUUUGUCCUUGUUGGGUGAUACGAACAAUAUCCCAGCGCCCGCACCGUUGAUGUUCAAGGACCCGUCGAAGAACAUUGACCAGUGGUCUGAGACAUCGGGAACGGAAGGCUCGUUGAGAUCCGUCCAUUCGGCAAUGAAAUCGACCAGGGCUUGAGACUUGACAGUGGUGCGACUCUGGAACUCCAGGGAAAAUGGACAUAAUUCCAUUGCCCAUUUCACGAUUCUGCCAUUGGCGUCUUUAUUGCGCAGGAUGUCCCCGAGAGGAAAGCUGGUUGUCACCAGGACUCGAUGGCCGUCGAAGUAGUGCUUCAGCUUUCUUGACGUUAUCAGGAUGGCGUAUAUAAGCUUCUGUAUUUGUGGGUACCUGGCCUUGGACUCGUUUAAGACUUCGCUUAUGAAGUAAACGGGUCUCUGGACCUUGAAGACGUGACCUGGUUCAUCUCGCUCGACCACUAUUGCCGUGGAAACAACCCUGUCGGUUGCAGCAAUGUAAAGGAGUAGGUCUUCAUUGGGCUGAGGCGCUGUGAGGACAGGUGGUGAAGUGAGGAAGGUCUUAAGCUGAGUGAACGCAGCGUCGGCUUCCUCUGUCCAAGAAAAUUUUUCUGACGCUUUCAAUAGUUUGAAGAAAGGGAGGCCUUUUUCUCCCAGCCUUGAGAUGAAACGACUGAGGGCGGCCAUGCAUCCGGUUAGCUUCUGAAUAUCCUUGACAUUUUUCGGUGGUCGCAUGUCGAGUACGGCUUUGACUUUUGAAGGGUUUGGUCGUAUGCCGUCGCGACUGACGACGUUGCCGAGCAGUAGACCGGAAGGAACGCCGAAAAUGCAUUUCUUGGGGUUGAGCUUCCACUUGUACCUAUUGAGUGCCUUGAAGGUUCGGUCUAAGUUGUCGAUUAGGGUGCUCGCAUCCCUUGUUUUUACGACCACGUCGUCCACAUAGGCCUCGACGAGGUCAUCGCGAAUCUCGUCGUGGAGGCAUUGCUGGAUGGCCCUUUGAUAAGUGGCCCCGGCGUUUUUAAGUCCGAAAGACAUGGUAGUGUAGCAGUAUGCGCCGAAGGGUGUGAUGAAGGAUGUUUUGAUCUGAUCUUCUUCCUUUAGCGAGAUCUGGUGAUAACCAGAGUAGCAAUCUAGAAAGGAGAGGAGUUCGCAUCCGUCCGUUGAGUCGACCACCUCGUCGAUGCGAGGAAGACCAAAAGGAUCUUUAGGACAGUGUUUGUUGAGAUCGGUGUAAUCAACGCACAUUCUCUAUUCAUUAUUCUUUUUGCGUACAAGAACCGGAUUGGCGAGCCAAUCGGGGUGAUACACUUCUUUUAUGAAUCCGGCUGCUAGAAGCCGUGUUAUUUCUGUCCUAAUAGCCUCCUUUUUGUCACGAGCGAACUGUCGCAGUUUUUGCUUGAUUGGUCUUGCGGUCUUCGAGACAUUUAAGGAGUGCUCGAUCAGGUUUCGUGGGACACCGGGCAUGUCUGCGGGUUUCCAUGCGAAAACGCUCACGUUGUCCCUUAGAAACCUGACGAGCGCGUCUUCCUAUUUUGGAUCCAGGUUAGCCCCGAUGAGGGCUGUCUUCUCGGGGUUGCCUUCGACCAGCUGCACUUCUUUGUACUCCUUGGAUUUCGAGUUCUUUCUGGCUGUCUCCUGCUCAGGUAAUCGGAGCUGGUCGGGAGGCAGCUGUGCGGCUUGGUUUGCUGUUUCCGCCAUGCGGAUUGAGAGGUCGAUUGCCUCGGUGAUCUUGAAGCUUUCUUCUUUGCAGGUGUACGCGGUGUAAACGUUGCCUCUGAUGGUUAGGACACCCUUCUCCGUGGGCAUCUUAAGGACUAGGUAUGAGUAGUGCGGGACUGCCAUGAACUUUGUCAGCGAUGGGCGGCCCAGUAUGGCGUGAUAGGUCCCGUCGAAAUCCGCGACUACGAAGUUGAUGAACUCCGUCCGGAAGUGAUCGGGUGUGCCGAAUUGGACAGGCAAUGUUAUCUGUCCGAGGGGCACCGAACUUUGACCUGGCAAAACCCCCCAGAAUUGGGCGUCGUAAGGUUUUAGUUGUGCCGGUGAUAUCUUGAGGGCGGGCAGGCUGUUGCGGAAGAGGAUGUCGAUGGAGCUUCCCCCGUCCACGAGCACGCGCUCGAAUCUGAUGCUAUUGAUGCAGGGAUCAAGAAUCAGUGGGAAACGACCCGGCUCUGGGAUAGCGGCCCACUGGUCCUUCCUGCUGAACGAGAUCUCCCUGUGGGACCACGCGGGAAAUUUCGGAUCUGCGAUCAGCCCGUCCGUGCUGUCUAUGUUGAGGCAGGCUCUCUUUAACAGCUUUCUUUCUCGCUUGGACUCAGUGGAGACCUUGCCCCCGAAAAUGGAGUGGACCACGUCGGUGGGGCUGACGUAUUGGUGUCGGGGGUCCCUGUCUUGGUCCUCAUCCUCAUCUUCGUGGUCGUGCCCGUCGCGCUUGUUAUUUUUCUUGGCGGAGUCCUCUUGGGCGGCCCGCCGUGUAUAGAUACUUUUGAGGACGCGGCACUCUUCCAUGGUAUGGUUAGACUUUGGGUGUAGCUGGCACGGUCCCUUCAACGUUUUGUUGUAGUCGUCUUGGUAGUCCCGUCGUCCAUUGGGACGUUUGACCGUAUUUACUUCGUGGUCGUAUUCGCGAGGGCGCUUUCCUCUGAAGUCGUCGCGGCUGUCGCGCCGCCGAUCCCAACCCUCUCGGUGAUCGCGGUUGUCGGAGCGGCGGUGAUUUCUGUUGUCGUAGCGACCACGACCGUCAUCUCGCCGGGAAGGCUGGUCGGGGCCUCUCGCAUCGUCUCAGAUUAGUUUUUUUGCGUCAUCAGCAUCGGCGUAAUUUUUAGCCGUGGCGAGGAGCUCUGCUACCGUUGAUGGGCGCUUACGCAACAGCUUGUUCCUCAGCGCUUCAUGGAAACGCAAGCCCUUGAUAAAGGCUGAUAUGGCCUCGUCAUGAGAAAUCUUCGGGAUUUUGAGGCGCAUAUCCGAGAAUCGUCGGAUGUAAUCGCGCAGAGGUUCAUUCUUCCUGUCUCUUAUCCUUUCAAGGUCAUACUUGUUUCCGGGCUGCUCGCAUGUGGCGAUGAAGUUGUCGAUGAAAGCCUGGCGUAGCUCUUCCCAAGAGUCGAAGGAGUCCUCGGGCAAGCCGAGAAGCCACUGAUGACCAGCCUGGUCGAGGACUACGGGGAAGUAGUUAGCCAUGACGUGCUCAUCUCCUGCCGCUGAUCGGACGGCGAUUUCAUAGAGAGUGAUCCAGUUCUCUGGAUUUUCCUUGCCGUCGUAUUUUUUAAGUUUUUCGAGCUUGAAAUUGCGGGGCCACACGACCUGGCGGAGGUGUGAGGAGAACUGUCUUAGGCCCGGAGGACCGUGGGUCGCAUCGUACUCGAUGCGGCGCAGGUUUUCGUGGACUGCUCUCUCUGCGGCGCGCCUGUUGAUGCGGUCGCGGGCAUCUUUGGGAGGGAUGUUGUGGCGGAGAUCCCUGUGUUGAUCUUCUUCUUGGCCGCGUACGCCAUGAAUUUGCUUGCGGCGGCCAUCGGCGUCCCGACCACCAUCGUCGCGCCGCGAGUCCCCUCGACGGUUGUCGGGGGAGCGGCUGCGGUGACGCCUGCUGGGUGAGACCUGGCUACGAUUAGUCUGGUCGGAGGCGGCUUCCGUAUAAGAGACGUCCUGGACUCUCUUGAGCAGAGUGGCUGUCUGUCCCAUUGCGGCGAUCAGGUGUGCUCGGAUGCUGGUCCGGACUCCCUGGCAUUCAGGGGUGUCAGGAAGCCGAUCCAGGUUGGCCAUGGCGACAGCCACGUUGGCGCUUGGCGUUUUGUAGACCGGCUGGUCCCCGACCAUGUCAAAGGCAUCGUUGAGGUUACUUGGUGGCAUCUGUUGUUGCUCGUCCGCACGCCGUCGGGCGCGAUCGGCGUUACGCUGUUCGCGGAGUUGCCUCUGGUCAUCUGUUUCUCCGUCAACAGCCGGUUCGUCGGCGCUGACAUUGAACACAAUAUCCCCUCGCCGGGGGGGGGGGAAUAUCGGGAAUCGGUCGAAACCCGGAGGGUGUGAAGGAAAAUCCAGGUCGUAGCCCUCGUCUUCGGUGUUUAUAACCUCGGUGGGGACGGAGCCGGUGCUUGAGUUGGUGCUGGAAACCUGGCCGUCCCGUAGCUCUCGGAUUGUCACCAUGUUGACAUGGUGACGAUUGUUCCUUGUCGGCGACCAACCCGCCUUGCUGAAAACGGAUUGGACAUGCUGUGAGUAAACAGAGGCCGAGUUGUUCAGGCCGCAAGGAUAGUCUUCCUUUUUGAGCUCGACGGAUCGUCCUGAGGGGGUUGAGGUUAUCGUCAGGGACGUUCCCAGCCGUUCGUGUGUGGCGACACGAGUUGGCCGGCGGGAUUUCGAAAAAUCCGCUCGAGCAGCUUGGUCGGGACGGCGCAGAAUUCCAUCUAUUAGUUGGGAAACUUCGAGUAGCUUGGAGUCAGCGCGAUCGAGCGCUUGGAGGAGGUCCGAGCAGUCGAUCUCCUUUCCCUUGUAGAGUGGGAACGGUGGUCGGGAGCUUGGUGCCGUCAUGCGUGUGGUCGGAGACGGCGUGAUCUCAGAUCGGACCUGGAUCUCUUUCGGAACCGUGGUCGCGAAACCGCCGCUGCACGUCGUCCACGUGAUCUGGCCGACGGUGAACGUGAGGCCUUCGGGCACGGUCGCGGAAGCUGGGAUCGUGACCAUCUUGUUCGCCGGAAAAGUUGCACGCACACCCCCUACCUGGCGCGCCACUGUCGACGAAAGCUAGUCGGCAGUCUACCUUGGGGUAUACCCACGGUAGUAGUUUAUCGGUAGACGGUGCGCAAACUACGAACUCGAUGGUGACGCAAGACACGGACAAGCUUUUUAUCCAGGUUCGGCCGCCGAGUUGGCGUAAUACCUACGUCCUGCGUCUGGUUGUAUUGAUUUGUGCUGAGAGAAUAUAUGAUGUCCUAGGGGGGUCCCUCGCCCCUCCUUAUAUAGUCUGGAGGGCGGGGUUACGGAUCUGGAAACUAAUCCUAGUCGGUUACAAUUGCCAUGGAUAAUUCGAUGUUAAUUCCUAUUCUAACCGACUAGAAUCCUGCUUGAUCUCCACAUCUUGUUUCCUUGCGCGAAACUCCAGGUUGUCGGAUCAAGCCUUGAACUCGUCUCGUAAUGGACCAAGCCUCCUGGCCGAAGUCUAGCCGUAAGGGUAUAGGGGUUUAUACCCCCACAUCAUGUUAGAAGUAGCUAAAGCUACAACAGUGACUUAGUAAAUGUGAGCUCUAUCUCAGAAAAUAUAUUCUUCUCAUGUUUACCUCUUAGUAAAUAAAUUUGAACUGAUCUGACUCAGUAUAGAUAAAGAUCUUUGGUUCGAUCUAUGUGAUUAUAUAGUUGCAACUGUAGUAGUUACAAGUUUUAGAUAUUUAUUUGACUGACACAGUGUAGGCAUUAAGUAAACUGCUGUAUUUUUAAUAAAAAAUAAUAAUGUUAUCUCAUUUUGAUAUAAUCAGAGAACGCACACCUGCUCUUGCUUAAUCCAGUUACAUCUAUUUUAGUACUCAAUACUCGUUCACAAAUUAGCAGGUGUUGUGUAUUAGUCUGUUCGCCUAACAAAUCCAACUACACAUCCCUGUUCAAAGCAGCAGCAGUAACUUCUCCAGCAAGUGGAAGCACUAUAGCAGGAAGCAACACGUCAAAGUCAAGCACCAGCUCAGGCAAAGGCAGGGGCUAGCUGGACCAUUAUUCUGUGAAGUUUGAACUCUAAACCAAGCAUGACUUAUGGUCAGUAGAAGUACUCAUUCAGAGUUCAAAAUAAACUUCAAUUCAUUCUCAAAUUAGCUACUUGUAUUCAGCCACUAAUUAAUCUAUUGCUCAUUACAGUUAGUUAUCAAUUUUGAUAUUUUCUUGCCAGAUUAUUUUUCUGUCUAUUGGUAGCAGCAAUAUCGUUAGUUUUUAUAUUGUUUCAAAUACAUGUUGUCUGAUAUUUCCUCCUCAGAUUCAUGCAACAAUUAACAACUAACUACGAUCUCAAGAGAAGUGAAGAAGCUGAGGAACGGCUGGCGAGGACACAGAAAGAGAUGGAGGAGAUGAAGAAGCUGACAGAGAUGAACAGGAAGGCAAUGGAGGAGAACAAUACGCUGCUCAAGCGUAUCUUGUCCAUCAACAAUGCUUCUUCGACGUGCGAGCUGCUCAGCUGCUGGUAGUAGGACUAACUAGGAACUGUAGCUGCUGGUGCUUGACAUCCUGCUAAUUUUGAUUUUGCAAUGACUUGUGUUGUGGUGGUUUGCAAAUGUUCUAUUUAAACCAAGUGUGUGGUGAACUAAGUUUAUGCACUUAUGUUGCUAGUGAACCGAGUGUAGCAGCGACAAUUAAGUUAUGAGCAAUGGAUCUUUAGUUUUAUGGAUGUUUUC